rnacentral:rRNA from 1 species
AGAGUUUGAUCCUGGCUCAGGAUGAACGCUAGCGGCAGGCUUAACACAUGCAAGUCGAGGGGUAACGCGGGGUAGCAAUACUCUGGCGACGACCGGCGCACGGGUGCGUAACGCGUAUGCAACCUACCUGUAACAGGGGGAUAACGGAGGGAAACUUCCACUAAUACCCCAUAUUGUCAUUCUUUCGCAUGUUAGGAUGACGAAAGCUUCGGUGGUUACGGAUGGGCAUGCGUGACAUUAGGUAGUUGGUGAGGCAACGGCUCACCAAGCCGACGAUGUCUAGGGGAGCUGAGAGGCUUAUCCCCCACACUGGUACUGAGACACGGACCAGACUCCUACGGGAGGCAGCAGUGAGGAAUAUUGGUCAAUGGACGGAAGUCUGAACCAGCCAUGCCGCGUGGAGGAAGAAGGUCCUAUGGGUUGUAAACUCCUUUUGUUCGAGAGUAAUAAGUGGGAUGCGUCCCACGAUGAGAGUAUCGGACGAAUAAGCAUCGGCUAACUCCGUGCCAGCAGCCGCGGUAAUACGGAGGAUGCAAGCGUUAUCCGGAUUUAUUGGGUUUAAAGGGUGCGCAGGCGGCGCGUUAAGUCAGCGGUGAAAUCUCCCGGCUCAACCGGGGAACUGCCAUUGAUACUGGCGUGCUAGAGUACGGACGGCGCCGGCGGAAUGUGUCAUGUAGCGGUGAAAUGCUUAGAUAUGCCACAGAACACCGAUCGCGAAGGCAGCUGGCGAGGCCGGUACUGACGCUCAGGCACGAAAGCGUGGGGAUCAAACAGGAUUAGAUACCCUGGUAGUCCACGCAGUAAAC